GAAUAAAUAAACAAUUCAACCAACAAAAACCAAGUAUGAUUAACAAUCCUAACACAACUCUAACCGGGUUCCAAUAACCAAAACACAAAAAUAAAUCAAACGAGUUCCGAAAUCAUCCUCUCUUCCUUGCCAUGAUUCCACGAUCACACUUUAUCUUUACCUGCACCAAAAAAGAAAUAGAUGCGUAAGUAUUAUCACAAAUACUUAGCGAGGCAAUCCUCCUAUCUACGAGCUAUACACAUAAGCAAUUAAAAGGGUAUAAUCACAAAUACAACAUAAACAAACCAGUCACUGAACAAUUCACCCAAAAACACAUUCACCACACCUACAUAUCAUCACACAAAACAAAUCAUACAACCCAAUCGCUCAGAUAAGCUCAUGGUCACGCCCUCACCUUAUC
rnacentral:sRNA from 1 species